CGUACCUGUCCUUGAAGUUUGAUGACCUCGCUUCCUUGAGUCUACCUCCUUGUCUGAAACCCUAGCUUUCUUCUUUCCACUUUGAUCUUUGAACAUCAACGGAUCUUCUUUCUUCCUCUUGCCUGAAUGAACUAGGACUGGCUGAAGCAAACUUCUCUUUUUCUUAAGUCCAACAUGGGAACCCCCGACUUCACCAGAUCGAAGAUCACGCUUCUUGGUCUCUUUGAGGAGCACACUUUUCUGACGAUCAAUUUUCUCUUCUCUAGGAGCAACAAACAUGCUUUCCUUUGACAAAGAGAAGAGAACACCAGCCCCCUUAUCAACAUUAUUCUCAUUCUCAUCCUCAUUAUUAACAUCAGAAUCCUUGUCCCAACAUGGGAACUCCCUGUACUGGAAAUUGAACUUCUUCGGGACAUACCCUGUGCACUUCCAUAACUCUGGUGUGAAAACGGACGAUAGGCCACGGAACAAAGCCGAGUCACCACC
rnacentral:lncRNA from 1 species